GGGGGCGGGGUCUGUGAGUGACUGACUGGGGGCGGGGUCUGUGAGUGACUGACUGUGGGGGCGGGGUCUGUGAGUGACUGACGGGUGGGGCGUUCUAUCAGUGACUAAUUAUGAUGAGUAAUUUGAAGCACUCUUGAUGAAACCUGUCUGUGAAUUAACAUCCACACAGCUCAGGGAAACCACCAGGACAGCAGAGGUUCUGGGCGCGCGCCAUUCCUGGAAUUGAUGAGAUGUCUCUGGUCCUAAUAAACUGAGAGGCCAAUGGUUAAAAAACAAGCAGGUGGGAAGUCUGACUCCUCACCAGGGAAGAGGGAAGAGUUGUAAAGUUUCACAGAAGAUUAUUGGGAUAUUACAAGCCCGGGGCGAGGACCAGUGUCAGCAGGCUGUUGCCGCCUGACAGCCUGAAGGCUCAAAGAAGGGAAAAGUUGAUCCUUUUGUUUUCUGGGGUAAAUUCCUAAAAGCAUUUGUCCCAUGAAGACAGCCUUGGUGAACCAAAGUAUAGCACUGACAUGUCAUGGUGGGGGUGAUUUGUAGUGUAGGCUCUUUGAUGCCUGUCUUUAAGGGUGUUCACUUUUACCAACUCAGUGGCUUUUCUUUUAUGCUUUUUAGAUUUCUACCUGGACAAGGCCUGGUACUAUACCCACAGAUAGGAGACAAAUUGGAUAUUAUUUGCCCAAAAGUGGACUCUAAAACUGUUGGCCAGUAUGAGUAUUAUAAAGUUUAUAUGGUUGAUAAAGACCAAGCAGACAGAUGCAUUAUUAAGAAGAAGAAAAAAACCCUGCUCAACUGUUCCCGUCCACACCGAGAUGUGAAAUUCAUAUCAAGUUUCAAGAAUUCAGCCCUAAAAUCAGGGGUCUAGAAUUUCAGAAGAAAAAAGAUUACUACAUCAUAUCUACAUCAAAUGGGUCUUUGGAAGGCCUGCAUAACCAGGAGGGAGGUGUGUGCCAAACAAGAUCUAUGAAGAUCUCAUGAAAGUUGGACAAGAUGCAAGUCCUGCUGGAUCAACCACGAAUAAUGAUCCAACAAGACAUCCAGAGCUAGAAGCUGGUACAAACAUGAGAAAUUCAAUAACAAGCCCUUUUGUGAAACCAAAUCCAGGGAUAGCAAUGUGGUUGGGCUGUGUGUCUAUGAGGUGCAUUUUUCUUAGAACGCCUAGAGGCAGAGGAGCCUCAAAACACAUCCCAACCAAAGGGAUUCACUCGUGGGCACAGGUUCUUGGGGUCUUUGCUCCCAGUGAGUCAAUAUUAACUCUGCCACUAAGACAGAUUAAUUCAGCCCGGUCAGUGUCUUACAGUCACAAGAGCAGAGCUCACCAGGUGUGUCAGCUACCGAUGCAUCCUGAAGUGUUGAAAAUAGGGAUGUUCCAGAUUUGCUGUCUAAUCUUUAGGAAGUGGUUGGCCUGGUGAGUGAGUGUAGGACUUUUGAAGCUCCUUCACCUCAUCUGGUGAACUGCUAUCAAGUUCAUCCAGUGAGUUGAGCAUCUGCUAUGCUUACUUGUUUGCAAUUGGAGAAUUCAUUCUUCAAGCUAGAGGGCAGAGUCUAAGAACCACAGUAAAUGGCUGUUCUUGCUUCCGUGCAGGUAUCAGCACCGAAGGCAACAGCGCAGGGCAUUCUAGAAACAAUCUGGGUUCCAAAGUGGCCUUAUUGGCAGGAAUCAUAUCAGGAUGCGUCAUCUUCGUCAUCAUCAUCAUCACCUUGGUGGUACUGCUGCUCAAGUACCGCAGGAGGCACGGCAAACACUCUCCACAGCACCUCCAAGCGAGGUGGCAACAACUCUGGCUGGGAACCCAGUGAUGUUCUCAUACCGCUAAGGACUGCAGAUAAUGUCUUCUGCCCACAUUAUCAGAAGGUCAGCGGGGACUAUGGGGACCCAGUGUACAUCGUGCAGGAGAUGCCCCCACAGAAUCCUGCCAACAUUUACUGCAAGGUCUGAGGCCUGGGAACUUUGCCUCCCAAGGGAACUCUCAUCUUGUUGUGGGCGCAGGGACUGCCUGAGCCUGGCUCUGGGGGCGGAAUGCCUCCUAGAAGAUCCUGGAGCUGGACCGUUUUGUAGGCUGUAACUUUUCAGCCUUGGGGAACCACAGACUCUCCCCAGAAGCUGGAAGAUUGCUAAGAGAUCCCCACUUGGACUGCUGUGUCCCUGUGUGGACCUCUAUGCUAUGCACCCAGCCAGGCACUCAGGCCUCUGCAGAUCCCGGGGAGGACACGGUGGGCUAUGGGUGGUCUAUGCAGCAGUACCUUAGGAGAAAGUUGCACCUCUGCCUCUGUGUUUCCUGCCAUGCACACUGGACUUGUCACUCGGACCUCGGGUAACCUCAGUAAGGUUUUCAAAGAUCCCUAGCAUUUAGUCCUCACUCCUUCUGUUUCCAGGGCUCUGCAACACCUCCCCAGACCCUUCACUCCACAUCCCAAAUCAUUAAGGGACACUCACCGCUGAGCCCUGGCCCCACCCUUUACACCAAGAUGAGAUUAAAUGGGAAUUAGGUACAGAAUUCUGCUUUCCUGGAUGCUUGGCUGGGUUUUCUGGGAAAAGCCUGGGAGGUGUUGUCAAGUGAGGAAGCUGCUGGCUACCACCGCAGGUGGAGCAUAGUGGGGAAAGCAAGAAGGAAACAAUAGAUAGUGCUUUGGUUUGGCUGAGAGGAAAGAGGAAAGUGGGAGACUACAGACUUUGUUGACUGGUGGUGAGCUCACUAUCACAGCUAUGCAACAGGGAAUCAAAGCCCCUCUCCUGAAGUGGAACAAAGGGGCUGUUGUUAUGAAAGGACUGGCCAGAGUUCAGAGGGAGAGGACAGACCUCUGGGGCAGGACUGUUGAGGUACUGGCAAUAAAAAAGCACAGCCUGCGGGAGAGUCA
rnacentral:lncRNA from 1 species